GUUUCAUGUCCAUAUCUUCUGCCAGGAUGUUGCAGUGCCUUGAAGAGAGCCUGGAAAUAACCAGUUACAAAAAAUUUGUUGAUUGUACUGUAGUUAAUUCAUUGUUUCAAUAACAAAGAGUUAUAAGGAAGACAUCAUUAACUGGUACAAGAGGAUUAUCAUUGAGUUUAAAUUCUGACUUGCACUGGUGACGUGUAUUCUUGUGAAUGAUCAGGAUGGGAUGAGGGCUCCGUACUACAGGCUAACAACUUAUAGCAUUCCUAUUUUUACUUGUUUAUUUUUUCAAAAGCCCAACUAAAUACUCAGUUACCAGAUUGUUGGUGUUGUUCUUCCAAGAUGCGAUGUAAGCAGUAAAAGCCUAUACAGUGUUAUUGCUUAAAUUUCUGUAAAUGUCCGUAGGUGUUCUUAAAUCACAAUUGUGCCAGUUGAAAGGAUACUAGAAUUGAGAUAUGCUCAUAGGCAUAAAAAAGUUAGUUAUGGCACCACAGAAAGCCACAGAUGUAGGAGUUUCUCUUGCAACCAUUUUUUGUUGUUGUUCUUCUGAUAUAACUGGAAAGGUGCAUUUGAUUUUUUUUUUCAAACUUGACAUCACAUUUGUCCCAGAACCUAGAAAGAUGUUCAGUGCACCAUCUGGUUAAUUUUCAUGGGAUCAUUUUCAGUUAUUGAGGUCUGAUGAUAUGGACAAAAUGCUUGAAGCAGUUUCACCUACCAUGUAUAAUCUCAACCCUUGCCAUCUUGGCUGAUAAAAUCUAACAGGGGAGAAUUGACCAGGUGGAUCCAGAGAGUGAUAAAUGCCUCACUCCAUCAGGAGGAGAUGCCUGCUGCCUUGGAGGAGGAGGUUGCACACUAUCUCCUGAAGAGGGCCUCCCUGGAUUCAGAGCCUUUUCUGGGUCUGGCAGAGCUGCUGCACCAAGGAGCAAAUGGAAAAGCGGAAGUAGAAGACAUCCCCUUCCCAAGUGCAGCUGGUGAUAGAUGUGGGCUGUUCCUGCCAUUUCACAGCCUUUCUGGGUCUCAUGAGCUGCUGGCUGGUCGACAAAGGAAGCAGUCUCUCUUUACCACCUGCCCAA